GACCAUAGCUCAGUGGUAGAGCAUCUGCUUUGCAUGCAGAAGGUUGCAGGUUCAAUCCCUGGAAUCUCCA